rnacentral:rRNA from 1 species
GCCGGGUGUGUAAGCGCAGCGAUGCGUUGAGCUAACCGGUACUAAUGAACCGUGAGGCUUAACCUUACAACGCCGAAGGUGUUU